ensembl:lncRNA
CUUCUUGCAAUAUGAAAUUAUGGAUUUUAAGCAAAAGGCCAACACCUUAAAUUUACUCUUCAUGUCAAAACCUCAGCUUUAGUUUAGGCAAGCUUCUAGUCUGCAAUUUAAACACAUUUUUCACUUCUUAGAGUCAUAGAACCAUUAAGGUUGGAAAAGACCUCUAAGAUCUAUUCCAAUCAUCUGCCUUCCACAAAUAUUGCCUACUAACUACAUCCCUCAGUGCCACAACUACACAGUUCUGGAACACCUCCAGGGAUGGUGACUCUACCACCUCCAUGGGCAGCCUGUGCCAGCACCACUCUUACAGACAAGAAAUUCUUCCUAAAAUCCAACCUGAACCUCCCCUCGUGCCACUUGAUGCCACUACCCUUCAUCCUAUUCUUGGAGAAGGAGAAACUGCUUACAAACUGACAUCAACAACUAAAAAAACCCAGAAACAGAAAAUGAAUUAAAGAAAUAUCUUUUCAGAUUUAUAACAUUUUAAAUCCUCCGUUUUAUUUUACAACAGUAUUGUGAAGAAGUGUUCCUAUAUAUUUUCUCUUGGAGAACUAAAUAUGAUUAUCCUUCUCUCCCUUUUGACUUUCCAUUUGGUGGGCUGAGGAUUGCUGCAGCUUCACUCAGCAUGUUUUGAUACAGCUGGAUGAGGAAUCAUGUGGACUUAUUUUUCCUUCUUGGUCAUUACUGGCAGUGAGUUGGCACUUAGUGAUGGUGAACUCUGUACUAACUUCUGCCACAGAGAAUCAGAGACAUUUGGCAGAAUCACCAAGGUUGGAAAAGACCUCCAAGAUCCUCUAGUCCAACUAUCCACCUACAACUGCUGGGUGAGAACAGGCAAUAAUUUGAAUUGUAUGAGGUUAACUGCUAGACAAUAACACAUGUAAUCAUUACUAUGGUUGUUAUAUGCCUUGUCAAUGGUAUUACAGUAAGAAUCACCCAGACUAAAGAAGAAAGAGUUCUGAUGGAAGCAGAACUAACUUCAGCAAGCAGUAAUCCAACACCAUGCAUCACCCCUUUCACACUGAAGGACUGUUAUAACAAGAUGGUGUCGAAAGUCAUAGACUAAAUUAACUCCAUGUACAAUUUACUGGGAUGGCCUCCCACUGGGAGGGGGAAGGGAAGUAAGCAAAAGGCUGCUUGGUGUUAAGCUGCUUGCUGGGUUAAACCACAACAGCACAUUGGAAGAAACAUACUAUCACAUGCAGUCAGCUGAAUUUACCCAGAGCUGGAAUGAGACAGGAAAAAAAAACCAUCAUUAUGGUGGUGUACGCAUCUGAGGCCAGUAACACCAAGCCAGACUAGGGGUCCCAACACUGAGGAAGCCCUUCGUGUUGAUACCUCCAGCCACAGGAAAAGGCAGUGCCUGCUUAAGUCCAGAAAGUAAAACAUUUCUGCAUUAUGGGAAGGUUUGCCCAUAGGAAAACCGAUUUGAACUCCAGAUGACAGAACUGCCUGUUCAGUAAGUCAGGAUCAAGGGCAAUGCUGUUAUCCUUCAUGUCCACUGUGACCCUCACAUUAGGACCUCCAGUCUCAGGGCAGGAUGAAGAAUAAAACUGAAUGCUAAUACUCUAAAAUGAAGUGAAAAAUCAUUUAAAAAUUCAACAUUUUCUUUUUCCUUGCCCUGCUAGCCUUCCCC